UAAGCAAUUAUACCGUGAAACUGCGAAUGGCUCAUUAAAUCAGUUAUCGUUUAUUUGAUAAUACCUUACUACUUGGAUAACCGUGGUAAUUCUAGAGCUAAUACAUGCUGAAAAUCCCGACUUCGGAAGGGAUGUGUUUAUUAGAUAAAAAACCAAUGCCCUUCGGGGCUUUUUGGUGAUUCAUGAUAACUUUACGGAUCGCAUAGCCUUGCGCUGGCGACGGUUCAUUCAAAUUUCUGCCCUAUCAACUUUCGAUGGUAAGGUAUUGGCUUACCAUGGUUUCAACGGGUAACGGGGAAUUAGGGUUCGAUUCCGGAGAGGGAGCCUGAGAAACGGCUACCACAUCCAAGGAAGGCAGCAGGCGCGCAAAUUACCCAAUCCCGACACGGGGAGGUAGUGACAAUAAAUACUGAUACAGGGCUCUUUUGGGUCUUGUAAUUGGAAUGAGUACAAUUUAAACCUCUUAACGAGGAACAAUUGGAGGGCAAGUCUGGUGCCAGCAGCCGCGGUAAUUCCAGCUCCAAUAGCGUAUAUUAAAGUUGUUGCAGUUAAAAAGCUCGUAGUUGAAACUUGGGCCUGGCUGGCGGGUCCGCCUCACCGCGUGCACUCGUCCGGCCGGGCCUUCCUUCUGAAGAACCUCAUGCCCUUCACUGGGCGUGCUGGGGAAUCAGGACUUUUACUUUGAAAAAAUUAGAGUGUUCAAAGCAGGCCUUUGCUCGAAUACGUUAGCAUGGAAUAAUAAAAUAGGGCGUGCGUUUCUAUUUUGUUGGUUUCUAGAGACGCCGCAAUGAUUAACAGGAACAGUCGGGGGCAUCAGUAUUCAGUUGUCAGAGGUGAAAUUCUUGGAUUUACUGAAGACUAACUACUGCGAAAGCAUUUGCCAAGGAUGUUUUCAUUAAUCAGUGAACGAAAGUUAGGGGAUCGAAGACGAUCAGAUACCGUCGUAGUCUUAACCGUAAACUAUGCCGACUAGGGAUCGGGCGAUGUUCUUUUUCUGACUCGCUCGGCACCUUACGAGAAAUCAAAGUUUUUGG
rnacentral:rRNA from 1 species